rnacentral:rRNA from 1 species
UACGUAGGGGGCAAGCGUUGUCCGGAUUUACGUGGCGUAAAGAGCGUGUAGGCGGCCAAACAGGUCCGUUGUGAAAACUCGGAGGCUCAACCUCCAGGACGUCGACGGAAACCGUGUGGCUAGAGUCCGGAAGAGGAGGAGUGGAAUUCCUGGUGUAGCGGUGAAAUGCGCAGAUAUCAGGAAGAACACCAUGGCGAAGGCAGCUCUCUGGGACGGUACUGACGCUGAGACGCGAAAGCGUGGGGAGCGAACAGG